AAGAGAUUUUUAAGAAGCUGCUAACUAUCUUUUAAACAUUAAAUUGUUAAUCUCUUA
rnacentral:tRNA from 1 species